rnacentral:rRNA from 1 species
GACGCGAGUCUGGACCAGCCAUGCCGCGUGCAGGAUGACGGUCCUAUGGAUUGUAAACUGCUUUUGUACGAGGAGAAACACUCCUACGUGUAGGAAUUUGACGGUAUCGUAAGAAUAAGGAUCGGCUAACUCCGUGCCAGCAGCCGCGGUAAUAAU